rnacentral:rRNA from 1 species
GGCUCAGGAUAAACGCUGGCGGCGCACAUAAGACAUGCAAGUCGAACGGACUUAACCAUUAGUUUACUAUUGGAGCGGUUAGUGGCGGACUGGUGAGUAACACGUAAGCAACCUGCCUAUCAGAGGGGAACAACAGUUAGAAAUGACUGCUAAUACCGCAUAUGCCAUGAAUAUCACAUGAUAUAAAUGGGAAAGGAGCAAUCCGCUGAUAGAUGGGCUUGCGUCUGAUUAGAUAGUUGGUGGGGUAACGGCCUACCAAGUCGACGAUCAGUAGCCGGACUGAGAGGUUGAACGGCCACAUUGGGACUGAGAUACGGCCCAGACUCCUACGGGAGGCAGCAGUCGGGAAUAUUGCGCAAUGGAGGAAACUCUGACGCAGUGACGCCGCGUGCAGGAAGAAGGUUUUCGGAUUGUAAACUGCUUUAGACAGGGAAGAUAAUGACAGUACCUGUAGAAUAAGCUCCGGCUAACUACGUGCCAGCAGCCGCGGUAAUACGUAGGGAGCAAGCGU